rnacentral:rRNA from 1 species
GGGGAAUAUUGGGCAAUGGGCGAAAGCCUGACCCAGCAACGCCGCGUGAAGGAAGAAGGCUUUCGGGUUGUAAACUUCUUUUACCAGGGACGAAGGACGUGACGGUACCUGGAGAAAAAGCUCCGGCUAACUACGUGCCAGCAGCCGCGGUAAUACGUAGGGAGCAAGCGUUGUCCGGAUUUACUGGGUGUAAAGGGCGUGUAGGCGGAGACGCAAGUCAGGAGUGAAAUCCCCGGGCUCAACCCGGGAACUGCUUUUGAAACUGCGUCCCUUGAGUAUCGGAGAGGCAGGCGGAAUUCCUAGUGUAGCGGUGAAAUGCGUAGAUAUUAGGAGGAACACCAGUGGCGAAGGCGGCCUGCUGGACGACAACUGACGCUGAGGCGCGAAAGCGUGGGGAGCAAACAG